rnacentral:rRNA from 1 species
GACGAACGCUGGCGGCGUGCUUAACACAUGCAAGUCGAACGAAGUGGCGAACGGGUGAGUAACGCGUAAUCAACCUGCCCUUCUGAGGGGGACAACAGUUGGACACGACUGCUCAUACCGCAUACUGCAGGAGGGGAUUGCGUCUGAUUAGCUAGUUGGGGGGGUAACGGCCCACCAAGGCGAUGAUCAGUAACCGGUCUGAGAGGGGGAACGGCAAACAUGGGAAUGGGACACGGGCCAGAAUCCUACGGGAGGCAACAGUGGGGAAUCUUCCGGAAUGGACGAAAGGCUGACGGAGCAAAGCCGCGUGAGUGAUGACGGCCUUCGGGGUGUAAAGCUCUGUUAAUCGGGACGCGGUACCGGAAUAGAAAGCCACGGCUAACUACGUGCCAGCAGCCGCGGUAAUUC